rnacentral:rRNA from 1 species
CCCUUAGAUGUCCUGGGCCGCACGCGCGCUACACUGAUGCAUUCAACGAGUUCUACCUUGGCCGAGAGGCCUGGGCAAUCUUUUGAACCUGCAUCGUGAUAGGGAUAGAUUAUUGCAAUUAUUAAUCUUGAACGAGGAAUUCCUAGUAAACGCAGAUCAUCAAUCUGCAUUGAUUACGUCCCUGCCCUUUGUACACACCGCCCGUCGCACCUACCGAUUGAAUGGUCCGGUGAAAUCUCGGGACGGCGGCUUGGUCGCUUGCGUCCGACUGCUGAAACUUGAUUAAACCAUAUCAUUUAGAGGAAGGUGAAGUCGUAACA